CUUUGUCUCAGGAAGCUAAAGAUUUACAGAAUUUUUGCUCCAUCCCAAGAAUUCAUUGUGGAGGAAGAGCUGAUUUCAGCAAUUCCAUCCACUUUCCUUCUACACCACCUGCCUCUUCCUUUCUUGUCCUAAAAGUUACUAUCCUGUUGAAGAGAUGGAUAUUUGUGUUCGUCACAGAGCUGGAAGACUGAAGUUUCCUAGGUUUUGGUUGCUCUAAAGAGAGCCUUAACAUUCUUCAGCCAAUUUCCAUCAGAUGACCCAUAAGAAAUGGGAUUUUUCCAUUCAUAUAAUCUGUUCAACAAGACUGCGAUAUGAAGAUCCAUGCUACCAAAAUCCUCAGCUUCACCAGCCAUACUGUUCACCUCAUGGCAGAUGGGGAAAGAAGUCAAAGUGAAGUUGGAAUAUCAUUUGGGAGAAUACAACACAAGACUGGCUGAAUUACGAAGAAGAGAAACAACUUCUUGAUUUUUCAAGGGAACAGAAAACCAGAUUCCUGAAAAUGUGAGAUUUUCCUGAGGUCAUGCCUCUUUGUUACUAGGUGACUUGAUAUACUGGGCACUCUGGGGUCUGUUGAGAAGUUUCUCUUGAUGUGUGUGUUUGCAGUGGGGAGCAAAGCAAUUACGGCAGUAGGCUAGGAAUAUGUAAGCUAUGGGGGCAGUGGAGAGAAGUCCAAAGAAGGAGCUGGAUCAGAAAACCACCUGUUGAAUGUGUAUGA